UGAACCUGCGGAGGGAUCAUUACUGAGUUUACGCUCUACAACCCUUUGUGAACAUACCUAUAACUGUUGCUUCGGCGGGUAGGGUCUCCGUGACCCUCCCGGCCUCCCGCCCCCGGGCGGGUCGGCGCCCGCCGGAGGAUAACCAAACUCUGAUUUAACGACGUUUCUUCUGAGUGGUACAAGCAAAUAAUCAAAACUUUUAACAACGGAUCUCUUGGUUCUGGCAUCGAUGAAGAACGCAGCGAAAUGCGAUAAGUAAUGUGAAUUGCAGAAUUCAGUGAAUCAUCGAAUCUUUGAACGCACAUUGCGCCCGCCAGCAUUCUGGCGGGCAUGCCUGUUCGAGCGUCAUUUCAACCCUCAAGCUCUGCUUGGUGUUGGGGCCCUACAGCUGAUGUAGGCCCUCAAAGGUAGUGGCGGACCCUCCCGGAGCCUCCUUUGCGUAGUAACUUUACGUCUCGCACUGGGAUCCGGAGGGACUCUUGCCGUAAAACCCCCAAUUUUCCAAAGGUUGACCUCGGAUCAGGUAGGAAUACCCGCUGAACUUUAGCAU
rnacentral:rRNA from 1 species